UGCAGUCGAACGAUGAUGGACCUUCGGGUUUGGAUUAGUGGCGAACGGGUGAGUAACACGUGAGUAACCUGCCCUUCACUGUGGGAUAACCUUCGGAAACGUGGGCUAAUACCGCAUAGGAGCUCCUGCUGCAUGGUGGGGGUUUGAAAGAUUUUUUGGUGGGGGAUGGGCUCGCGGCCUAUCAGCUUGAUGGUGGGGUGAUGGCCUACCAUGGCUUCGACGGGUAGCCGGCCUGAGAGGGCGACCGGCCACACUGGGACUGAGAUACGGCCCAGACUCCUACGGGAGGCAGCAGUGGGGAAUAUUGCACAAUGGGCGGAAGCCUGAUGCAGCAACGCCGCGUGCGGGAUGACGGCCUUCGGGUUGUAAACCGCUUUCACCUGUGACGAAGUUUUUUUGACGGUAGCAGGAGAAGAAGCACCGGCUAACUACGUGCCAGCAGCCGCGGUGAUACGUAGGGUGCGAGCGUUGUCCGGAUUUAUUGGGCGUAAAGAGCUCGUAGGUGGUUUGUUGCGUCGGAAGUGAAAACACGGGGCUUAACUUCGUGCUUGCUUUCGAUACGGGCAGACUUGAGGAAGGUAGGGGAGAACGGAAUUCCUGGUGGAGCGGUGGAAUGCGCAGAUAUCAGGAGGAACACCGGUGGCGAAGGCGGUUCUCUGGACCUUUCCUGACGCUGAGGAGCGAAAGCGUGGGGAGCAAACAGGCUUAGAUACCCUGGUAGUCCACGCCGUAAACGGUGGGCACUAGGUGUGGGGGACUUCCACGUUCUCCGUGCCGUAGCUAACGCAUUAAGUGCCCCGCCUGGGGAGUACGGCCGCAAGGCUAAAACUCAAAGGAAUUGACGGGGGCCCGCACAAGCGGCGGAGCAUGCGGAUUAAUUCGAUGCAACGCGAAGAACCUUACCUGGGUUUGACAUAUGCCGGUAGCAGCCAGAGAUGGUUGUGCCUUUUGGGCCGGUUUACAGGUGGUGCAUGGCUGUCGUCAGCUCGUGUCGUGAGAUGUUGGGUUAAGUCCCGCAACGAGCGCAACCCUUGUCCUAUGUUGCCA
rnacentral:rRNA from 1 species